GCAAGUCGAGCGAAUUUUUGGGAGCUUGCUCCCAAAAAUUAGCGGCGGACGGGUGAGUAACACGUGGGCAACCUGCCUAUAAGACUGGGAUAACUUCGGGAAACCGGAACUAAUACCGGAUAAUUCUUUUCUACUCAUGUAGAAAAGCUAAAAGACGGUUUACGCUGUCACUUAUAGAUGGGCCCGCGGCGCAUUAGCUAGUUGGUGAGGUAACGGCUCACCAAGGCCACGAUGCGUAGCCGACCUGAGAGGGUGAUC
rnacentral:rRNA from 1 species